UACAGAGGGUGCAAGCGUUGUUCGGAAUUAUUGGGCGUAAAGAGCGCGCAGGCGGUCGGAUAAGUCGAAUGUGAAAGCCCCCGGCUCAACUGGGGAGGGUCAUUCGAUACUGUUCGACUCGAAGGCAGGAGAGGGAAGUGGAAUUCCCGGUGUAGUGGUGAAAUGCGUAGAUAUCGGGAGGAACACCAGUGGCGAAGGCGACUUCCUGGCCUGUUCUUGACGCUGAGGCGCGAAAGCUAGGGGAGCAAACGGG
rnacentral:rRNA from 1 species